GAUGAACGCUGGCGGCGUGCCUAAUACAUGCAAGUCGAGCGAACAGAUAAGGAGCUUGCUCCUUUGACGUUAGCGGCGGACGGGUGGGUAACACGUGGGUAACCUACCUAUAAGACUGGAAUAACUCCGGGAAACCGGGGCUAAUGCCGGAUAACAUUUAGAACCGCAUGGUUCUAAAGUGAAAGAUGGUUUUGCUAUCACUUAUAGAUGGACCCACGCCGUAUUAGCUAGUUGGUAAGGUAACGGCUUACCAAGGCAACGAUACGUAGCCGACCUGAGAGGGUGAUCGGCCACACUGGAACUGAGACACGGUCCAGACUCCUACGGGAGGCAGCAGUAGGGAAUCUUCCGCAAUGGGCGAAAGCCUGACGGAGCAACGCCGCGUGAGUGAUGAAGGUCCUCGGAUCGUAAAACUCUGUUAUUAGGGAAGAACAAAUGUGUAAGUAACUGUGCACGUCUUGACGGUACCUAAUCAGAAAGCCACGGCUAACUACGUG
rnacentral:rRNA from 1 species